rnacentral:rRNA from 1 species
UACGGAGGGUGCAAGCGUUAUCCGGAUUCACUGGGUUUAAAGGGUGCGUAGGUGGGUUAGUAAGUCAGUGGUGAAAUCUCCGAGCUUAACUUGGAAACUGCCAUUGAUACUAUCAGUCUUGAAUACCGUGGAGGUCAGCGGAAUAUGUCAUGUAGCGGUGAAAUGCUUAGAUAUGACAUAGAACACCAAUUGCGAAGGCAGCUGACUACGCGAAUAUUGACACUGAUGCACGAAAGCGUGGGGAUCAAACAGG